GGCUCUCAGUCCCCGCCUCGCGGGGGGUGCCUCCCACCUCUGCGAUGGGGGUCCUAAGAGCCAGUGGGGGAACCAGGGGCUGGCUCUCAAUCUCUGCCUCGGGGGGGUGCCUCCCCCCUCCUGCGAUGGGGGUACCAACAGCCAGGGGCGGAAGAGGGGAUAGCUCUCAGUCCCCACCCUCGUGGGGUUGCCUCCCCCUCCUGCGAUGGGGGUCCUAAGAACCCGGGGGGGAAGAGGGACUGGCUCUCAGUCCCUGCCUCGCGGGGGUGCCUCCCCCCCUGCGAUGGGGGUACUCACAGCCAGGGGCGGAAGAGGGGAUAGCUCUCAGUCCCCACUCUCGUGGGGGGUGCCUCCCCCUCCUGCGAUGGGGGUCCCCAGAGCCAGGGGGGGAAGAGGGACUGGCUCUCAGUAAUCCCACGUAAGGUACCUGCCGUCGGAAGAUUUGAACUUUCUACUUGGACAACUAACACCCACAGUCCUCCAGGUGGGUCCUAAGGAUCUUAGGAUCAACGAUGGGGGGUCCUAAGCCGGGGGGGAAGAGGGUCUGGCUCUCAGUCCCCACCCUCGCGGGGGGUGCCUCCCCCUCCUGCGAUGGGGGUCCCCAGAGCCAGGGGGGGAAGAGGGACUGGCUCUCAGUCCCUGCCUCGCGGGGGGUGCCUCCGCCCCCAGCGAUGGGGGUCCUAAGAGCAAAGGGGGGAAGAGGGGCUCGCUCUCAGUCCCCGUGUCGUGAGGGGUGCCUCCUCCCCUGCGAUGAGGGUGCAAAGAGCCAGGGGAGGAAAGGGGGAGGUUCGCAGUCCCCGCCUCGCGGGGAUUGCCUCCCCCACUGCGAUAGUGGUCCCAAGAGCCAGGCGGGGAAGAGGGGUUGGCUCUGAGUCCCCGCCUCGCGGGGGGUGCCUCCCCCCACUGCGAUGGGAGUCCCAAGAGCCAGGGGGGAAGAGGGGAUGGAUCUCAGCCAUCACAAAAUGGGGGGCCUUUAUAUUCAGGUUUUACCCAAGAAUCAGCUUAUUUGCUUCUUGUACUAGCAGGGCAGUUGCUGCCAAGGCCCUCUAAUAGGGGGGCCAUCCUUUAGAAACCUGUCUAGUUGUUUAGAGACGUAGGCUACCGGCCUCAGCCAGGGCCCCACAGUUUGGGUUAAAAGUCCAGCUGCCAUCUUUUCUCUCUCUGACGCAUACAAUGGAAAAGGCUUUGUCAGAUCGGGUAGCCCCAGGGCUGGGGCUGCCAGAAGUUUUUCCUUUAACUAAUGAAAGACUUGCUGUUGUCGGGAUCCCCAUUUCAAAGUUUCCGGGUCCCCGCCCCCUUUGUGACCUCAUACAAAGGCUUGGCUAAUACUGCAAUGUUUGGGAUCCACAGUCUACGAAACCCCACAGCUCCUAAGAAUUCUCUCACCUGCCUUCUGCCCUUAAGCUCCGGUAGAUUGCAAAUAACCUGCUUUCUUUCUGUUCCCGAGCUGCGUUCGGACCCAUGUCUUAUUGUAAAUCCCACGCAAGGUACCUGCCGUCGGAAGAUUUGAGCUUUCUUCUUGAACACCUCAUACCCACAGUCCUCCAGGCGCCAGUGGGAUCAAGAGAGGGCAACAUUGCAACUCUCCAUGCUCCUGCAAUAUCCAUGGCUAUUCUGUAGACAGAAAGACAACAGGUACAAAGCCCUAAGGAUUAUAAAGGUAUGCUGCUUACCAUCAUCUUAGUGACCAAGGCAGCGAAGCUGUUUCUGUACCUUGGAACAGUCUUCCCUGACAAGCCAGAGAACAGUGAUAAAGCCACCAGCCUUGGGAUCAGGACUGAAAAGGCAAGAGUGAUGGAGAUUUCUCCUGCGCUAAGCCAAGAGAAGGUUUCAGCACUUCAGACAGCUCCCACCGAAGUAGCCGCGCUCCCAGCUGCUUGCAGAUGUUGAAAAGGAAAGCCUCGGUUUGUCUUGAGGUUGUCAGCAGGUGCAAGACACGUAAUAAAAUGCAAUGUGUUCCU
rnacentral:lncRNA from 1 species